GUGUCCUAUAAAAGAAGAAGUUAGCAUUCUCCUUAAAAAGGUUAAGAAGAUUCUAGUCACCUGAACAAAAGAUUCAUAGUUAAGGUAUUGUACUUACUUUAUGGCAUCUAACCAUGUCCUUUG
ensembl:snRNA